UUUCCAGUAAGCACUGUGAUUUAAAGGUAGAUUUAGGCAUAGAGUUUCUGUAAAAAGAUGUUCAUGUUAUUCUAUCGUAUGCUUAGUAGAAAGCGGCCAUUGUUUUAAAUUAAUGCGCAUCACAACACAUACCAUAAUUAUCAUUAUUAAUAUUUAGUUUUAAUUAAUUUGUGUUUAACAUCACAUAAUAGUAUCAUAACAAAUUAUUUAUGUUAAAAUUAACAUAAAUCAAUUGAGCGAGGUUUAUUAUUUGAAUCUUAUAUCAAAAGUCAUGCCAGCAGACAACGAUGAGCUGCAGAUUACUAGUGUUCACCAUAUAUAUUCAAUGACGGAGACCGAUAUUUAUUGGUUUCUCAAUCUCGUGACUAAUAUUUUGGAAUUAUGACAAUUCGCAAUAAAACAAAUUAGUCAUACAUUAUAGCGGUAACGAGAGUGACAGCAGCACUAGUAGUAGUGUUACAUUCAAGAAAAAACCUACAUUCAAGAUCAGUAAGGUUGCUCAGUUAGCACAUUCUGUGAAACCAGGACAGAAAUUAAUUCCUGUGACAAAUGGGAAACCGAUUAAAAUAAUAGGCUUCCGCCCUUCAUUAAAAGAUCAUCCAGGAUCAUUGCAAACGGUUAGCGUUUCUCAAAAACCUCCAGAGCCUCCACAUAAUGGUGGCGAACUUUCACAGAAACCAGGAGGGCCGUUACAGAAUUCUAAAGAAGGUAUUCAGACAACUGAAGGGGAUCCUGUUAAUCCAAAAGAUCCACAGGAAGAUGUUUUUAUUCCAGAUCAACACCCGGCAGGAAAAGUCCUUCUCGACAUUUUAAACAUUACGCAAAAUAACACUUUGUUAUUGAAUGAAUUAUCAAAAAAAAAUGGAUAAACAAGGCGAGCAAUUAUCCAAAUUGUCGCAAAUUGUUCAUCAGCGUGGAAAUCCAACGAUUUCAUCGACAAUAGCCAAACCUGGCUUCGUACCGUUCCACACUGCGGCGGAAGUUAAAGAAUAUGAAAAAGCUACAGAAGAAAAUAGAACUAAAUUAAGAAAUUAUAUUAGUGCUUUUAAAGGAGGAAGAUGUGUAAUGGAUAACGUUCGAUAUAUUUUGAAAAAUAAUUUACUCAUGAUGGAGGAGCUGUUAAUCACUUACAAUUACUUUGAACCCAGUAAAGGGAAACCAAACACUUUGGCUGGUUCCAUGCUCGAUCGUGAUUUUCUCUAGGCUUUAAGAUCGGUGUACCCUAAUUUAACUGUGCAACAAUAUCAUGAAGCUUUAAAAACUGCACUGAAAGCAGCAGAUUCUCGAAUGAGAGUAAAAACUAAAUCCGCCUCAGAACCACCGAAAAAGAGGAAGAAAAGCACGGAUUUUUCUGAAGAUUUUUAUUCUAAGUCAUCUGAAAAUCAUCCUCCAGUGGAUUAGCAUUUCUUAAAUUAAUAUUUUUUAAUUAAGUAUUUUUUUCAUUUAAAAUAUAUAUUAAUUGUAAGGAGGUAUAUAUAACUUAUAGAAUGUCAACUAUUUAGGUUACAGAAACAAAUAUAAUUUUCUAUUUUAUUACAAA